GGAAGGGGCAGGGCCUAGGGGAAGGGACAAGGUAGAUCCUGGGUUGCUCUUACAUUCAAAAAGUGAUCUUAGGCGUAUAAAGUUUGGAGGCCACUGCCGUAGAUGCUCCGAGUGUGGGAAACGCUUCUGUCAGAGUUUACACCUUAUUUAUCAUCAGGGAAUCCACAAGUUAGAUAAACAGCAUAAACACCUAAAUAUUCUUGCUAAUUCCCACAUGUGGCCUUUAUGCUGUCGGUGCGAUUUCCUUCAUUGUGGCCUCAGCUCUCCCAGGUGAGUGGUCCGGUUUUGCUUUUUGCAGCUCUUGAAUCCCCAAAGAGCGUUCCUAUCUACUGCUUUGUUCCAUGAGUCAUGGGAGUACGAGUCCCACCCCAGAUGGGGGGACCAGAAACCUGCAUGGGCCUGGUGUCAUUAGCAUUUUUUGUAGUUAGCCAGCUCCAGUGAGCCAUCAGAUGUAAAAUCACAGCUGUGUUUUCUAUACUGACAUGUCCCAUGUACAAUAUCUUUCCUAGUUUAGAAUCCUGUUGCUAAUUUAUCGUGAUGCUAAAACUUUUGCAAGUACAACUGAAUAACGAUGAGAAAGCGCUGAGUGAAGCAGGUUUCAAUGGAUCAGAGGACAAUGCACUGGGAAAAUUUGUGGUCCUGAUUCUGAGCCAUCAGAUGUAACCUGCCCUAGAAUCUCAUUCUAUCUGAAACAGAAAAUGUCUUACACCCCUCUGAGAUGGAGAUUUUUUCUCUCUUUCCUGAAGGCUGGUUGGCCACACAACUGGAUAUUAGUUUUCUUUGGCAGAAUGUAGUUCAGAUUUAUUGAGGAUUUGGAGACAAAUUCCCAUUGAUUUAUUUUUGCUUUUCUCCUACGCCUCCGUGAUGUCAUGGGGAAAGUUCAAAUGCAACUCAGUCAGCUGGAGCGAAUAGUCCCAGUUAUGGGACAUGCUACCAAAGAAAUGGCAGUGGUUUGAAAUCUCCAGUCUGAAAUGGUGAAGAGCAGUGCACCCCAAACUGUACAACUAACUUAAGUAACUGGAUAUAAUCACAGGGUUGUUCAGUUAUUUAGGUCAAUAUUAUUUCAGAUCAUCCGGGGAGAGAGUUUCACAGUAAGGAGCUAUGCAAAAUACCCAUGUACUUGUUUCCUAAAACAGUUGUGACCCAGGCCCUCGAGGUGGUUACUCCUGAAGAUAUCUCCCAGCUAAUCCUAAUGUUUGGGAAAUACUGUCUCUAGCAAUGCAGUUGUGCAGGAAAUAGAAGUGGUUUUUGUUGCUUUUGAAUUCACCCUUUGCAAUGCUUCGAAUAUGUAUAAAAUGAGAUCAGUGUUUAAUGUGAGACAGCUGCAGAAAAAUUACUCAUUUUGAAUAGAAACCCCACCUCUGGUUCUGUAUAGUGAGUCUCACCCAGGCUUGUGUCUAGUUUCUGAUUUAAACAGGUGCAAUCGGAUGAAGGAAAUAAACUUGGCAUAUUUGGGGAAGCCAUUCCUCACUAACAUU